GACGAGCGCUGGCGGCGUGCUUAACACAUGCAAGUCGAGCGGAAAGGCCCUUUCGGGGGUACUCGAGCGGCGAACGGGUGAGUAACACGUGAGUAAUCUGCCCUUGGCUUUGGGAUAACCACCGGAAACGGUGGCUAAUACCGGAUAUGACCGCUCCCGGCAUCGGGUGGUAGUGGAAAGUUUUUUCGGCCAGGGAUGUGCUCGCGGCCUAUCAGCUUGUUGGUGGGGUAAUGGCCUACCAAGGCUUCGACGGGUAGCCGGCCUGAGAGGGUGACCGGCCACACUGGGACUGAGACACGGCCCAGACUCCUACGGGAGGCAGCAGUGGGGAAUAUUGGACAAUGGGCGGAAGCCUGAUCCAGCAACGCCGCGUGAGGGAUGACGGCCUUCGGGUUGUAAACCUCUUUCAGUACCGACGAAGCGCCGAUGAUGGUGGUGACGGUAGGUACAGAAGAAGCACCGGCCAACUACGUGCCAGCCGCCGCAGUAACAC
rnacentral:rRNA from 1 species